rnacentral:rRNA from 1 species
CCUACGAGAGGCAGCAGUGAGGAAUAUUGGUCAAUGGGCGCGAGCCUGAACCAGCCAAGUAGCGUGAAGGAUGACUGCCCUACGGGUUGUAAACUUCUUUUAUAAAGGAAUAAAGUGAGGCACGUGUGCCUUUUUGUAUGUACUUUAUGAAUAAGGAUCCGCUAACUCCGUGCCAGCAGCCGGGGUAAUACGGAGGAUCCGAGCGUUAUCCGGAUUUAUUGGGUUUAAAGGGAGCGUAGAUGGGUUUGUAAGUCAGUGGUGAAAGUUUGCGGCUCAACCGUAAAAUUGCAAUUGAUACUGGCAGUCUUGAGUACAGUUGAGGUAGGCGGAAUUCGUGGUGGAGCGGUGAAAUGCUUAGAUAUCACGAAGAACUCCGAUUGCGAAGGCAGCUUACUAAACUGCCACUGACAUUGAUGCUCGAAAGUGUGGGUAUCAAACAGGAUUAGAUACCCUAGUAGUC